GCGCCUCACCACCGGCGUGCGCGUUCAUACCACGCCCACAUCGCGUGCCCAACCCCGCGCCCCGUGAUCCAUCACUGUCGGCGCACGUCAACACCACCACUACACCUCCAAGCAGUACCUUCAAACACUGCAGUUUUCGACCCAACUUCCGUGAAGCAUGCCAUUCACAUCACGUCGCCCUAACCAAAUCACUUUUGUUUCAAAACUUUGACGUGCCCUGGGCGUAACCCCCCCCCCACCCUACCUCCACCUGUGCGUGUGAGCGAGAAGGUGUUUACACGUUGUUGCAUCAUCACAACCGGUCGAUAAACGCUGCUGCCAAGAAGAGGAACAACAACAACUCCGCCGCAGCCGUCGUCGUUGAUUGUUGGGUCUUUAGAGUUGAAACGAUCGGCCGCAAGGAAUGUCUGACGCGCCGAAUUUGCUCCGGGUGGUGUGCAUCCUCAUCGCUGUGUGUGUCCUCACGGAAGCGAAGUGCAAUGACACCACGGAGUAUGAAGACAACGGUCGAUGUUGUGAGAAAUGCCCACCAGGUUUCUUCAUGACGGAGAAGUGCUCAGAAGGAUCAAAAGCGUCCACGUGUAAGAGUUGCACCGAGGAAUCUUACAGUGACACGCACAGUACAGAUGCUCAGUGUAAGUCAUGCGACGUUUGCAAUGAAGAGAUUCGUAAGACAGAGGUGAAGCCCUGCACACCAACAAGUAAUCGGGAGUGUGCUUGUGAAGAUGGCACUCACGAAUUUCACGACGGAGGGAUAGAGAUCUGCUGCAAUAACUGUCCUGCUGGAGAAGCGUUGACAAGUGAAUGUAAAAUUGAUAGACCUACAACUUGUACCCCAUGUAAUGACGGGACCUACAGCAACGGCAUUGGAUGUAAUGACGGCGACAAGAUAUCGGCACCUCGCACGACGACGAGCGACACAGAGAGCGGGACGUACGAGGAACGCAAAACGCCUUCUGUUGCGGGGUCACCAUCUUGCGAAUGACUGAGGCUCGGGGCUGUACAUGCGCUGGGAGAGGCAUCUAGCGGUGAGCAUUAGAAACUCUAUGCCCCGCCCUUUCAAGUGGCAUUUUCAUCAUAAUCGUCAUAUCGAUGACGAUAAUAGUGAUCUUUUUCGUAUGUAUAUGCUGCUUGAACACACACCAUUCGAGUGUGGAUCCACUGCACAACGAAGUAAGGAAACGCAUCUAGACCAAUCCCUGGUUGGAGGUCGAAGGCCCCCCCGGACCAUUGUUCACGAUGAGAGGCCGGGGGAAGAGAUCAAGACACCCCUCGUUCGACUGGAUAUUCAAAGUUUUGCUCACUUGCUAGCUUUUAGCGUUUCGUUUUUUGUACAUCCCUCCCCCUCCCUCCGAUUAGCACGGUUGGCUAUGUACAACAUGCAUACGUACGUACAUAGCGAGAGCAAAUGCAUCACAGUAAAACGUACCGAAGACACGCGUGUAAUCCUGAAUUGUAAUGUAUUAUCACGGCGAAGGCACAUCUGUGCGUUAUCAUUCUACGCAACGUCGUCAUCGUCCUACGCGCCCUCAAGACUCGGCCACACCUGACAGGUCACCGGCUGCAUCAGCCACCUCUGGCUGCCGUGCUGUCGUCAGGUCAAGCUGCUGCUGUUAUGCACUUGAGACGGUGUGCGAGUGACGACUUCACAUCCAACGGCACAGAAGAUCCUCGUUAGACGCCUGCCGUUGUCAACUCCUCGACGAGAGCGCGAGAGAGACCAUCUGCUACAGACUGUGUGACUGACAUAAAUUCGAGUUCAAUGAUUAUCACUACCCGAUCCUAAUUAGCCCUAUCCAUCACGAUGCUCUCAUCACGUAUUAUAUUGACAAUCACCAAAAUGUCGAACAACGGAUCUCAAAUGCUACGGUGUCAAUGGGUAUUCUGAAUUUGGUAUAUCGAUAAUUACAUACACAAAAUAUUAACCGGGCUUCACAUGAUCAUCAUUUUACGGACUCGGUGAUACCUUAUUAACCCUAAUUCUGAGUUUAUCCAUUGAUUAGAUUGUUUUAAUUUGUAUGUAUGUUGAUCUUUCACACCGUAUAUAGCCAACCGUGCUCAUCGGAGGUGUGGUGGAUGUGUAGUGUCGUCUGUGCUUGCGGGUGGCGUGCGUCGCACACACAGUCAGCCGGAGACGAGUAGGUCGCAGGAGGCACCGCUUUGCCCUUUUAUUGUUGCCACGCUCAUGCCACCACUCGGGCCCCUUCUCUCGUACAUGAUCCCGCUGCCGCACGACCCGUCCCAGACAUGACCCUGUCCGCGUUGCACCGAUGGCGUCGACCAGGACAGCCAACUACUGUCCGGCCGCGCAAUGAUCGGGCGAAGGCGGCAGCGACAAGGGCGGUGACGACAGCGAUGACGAGACGAGUCCAACCCCAGAACCGGCAGCCCGGAGCUCUCGCUCCCCGCUGCUUUUAUUCCCCUCGGCGCGGCUUUUCGAACCCUCUGGAGGGUUCCAGGGGCUUCCACACGAGGUCUACCAUGACCCUUGCCCCAGUUCCUCCGCCCUGCCGGCACACCCGCGUUUAUGCUCAGCGGCAUGCGCACUAAGUGCCCACCUGCAGUUGCAGCUGCUGUCCAACAGUCAGCGCUAUGUCACUACAGAUGCAUAACAAACAAAACACAUUUGUGUAACACUAUCAAGUAUUCUUUGGACCGAGUACCAAUCAUAUUCAAUGAUAUUUAAUGAUUGGUACUCUGAUUCUUUUAAAUAAAUUUUAUACUUGUUUGCAUUAAAAUAUGCCUCCAUGUGUGUGGUUGAAUGAUCCAUCAAAUCCACCCGUUAAAUGCGAGAUAUCAAAGAAUCUGAAUAACUAGACUAUAG